UUUGACAUUUGUUCUUAUUUAUGUAUUUAUUUAACUGCAGGAGAUCUACAGGUUUGUCAUUUGCCCUACCCACCCCACCCCCGACUCACCUUGACCCUGGGAGCCGCAAGGAGCUGCUUGCUUUGGUGGGGGACUUGGAUCUCCAAGUGUUGCUGCUUCCUCCAGCCCCUGGGGUGCCAGGCCGUUGCUUACUUCAUCGAUGUGGCAUUGACCGAUUCACCUCCGGCCCUGUCCCAUUGGAUGUGGCAACUUCACACAGAGAGACAUCUUCCAAUUUGUCACUCCUGUACCUGAUCCCCGCCACCUUCUGCCCUGAGACGACGACAUAACUAUCUUCAGAGACCCUGGGAUUGGAGUGAAUAGCUGCCUCUUUUUCAACAAUUCAGCUUUUUACCUGAAAUCAUAUCCCUUACCA
rnacentral:lncRNA from 1 species